CCUGCUGUGUCACAAUGGCUGGUCUGAAUGCAUGAGUGCACCCUGCUGUAGCAGCGUCUUCAGUGUGAUAAGUAUCUUCACUGAUUCAAGCUCCCCUGUGGGACACGCUUGUCUGGUGGGCUCUGUGCUUCUAACUGUCCGCAUGGACAAUUCUUGACAAUUUGACCUCAAAUCGGGUGGGACUACCCGCUGAACUUAAGCAUAUCAAUAAGCGGAGGAAAAGAAACUAACAAGGAUUCCCCUAGUAACGGCGAGUGAAGAGGGAAAAGCUCAAAUUUUGAAUCUGGUACCUUUGGUGCCCGAGUUGUAAUCUAGAGAAGUGUUUUCUGCCUCGGACCAUGCAUAAAUUCCCUGGAAUGGGGUGUCAUAGAGGGUGAGAAUCCCGUUUGUGGUGUGGACUACCUUGGCUUUGUGAUACACUCUCAACGAGUCGAGUUGUUUGGGAAUGCCGCUCAAAAUGGGUGGUAAAUUCCAUCUAAAGCUAAAUAUUGGCGAGAGACCGAUAGCGAACAAGUACCGUGAGGGAAAGAUGAAAAGCACUUUGGAAAGAGAGUGAAACAGUACGUGAAAUUGUUGAAAGGGAAGCGCUUGAGGUCAGUCACAUCAGUCAGGACUCAGCCAGGCUUCUGCCUGGUGUACUUCCUGGCCGG
rnacentral:rRNA from 1 species